AUUGAACGCUGGCGGCAUGCUUUACACAUGCAAGUCGAACGGUAGAGGGGGCAACCCCUUGAGAGUGGCGAACGGGUGAGUAAUGCAUCGGAACGUGCCCAGUCGUGGGGGAUAACUACUCGAAAGAGUGGCUAAUACCGCAUACGACCUGAGGGUGAAAGCGGGGGACCGAAAGGCCUCGCGCGAUUGGAGCGGCCGAUGUCAGAUUAGGUAGUUGGUGGGGUAAAGGCCCACCAAGCCGACGAUCUGUAGCUGGUCUGAGAGGACGACCAGCCACACUGGGACUGAGACACGGACCCGACUCCUACGGGAGGCAGCAGUAAGGAAUAUUGGUCAAUGGAGGGAACUCUGAACCAGCCAUCCCGCGUGAAGGAUGAAGGGGCUCUGCCUUGUAAACUUCUUUUGCAUGGGACGAAAAAACUUAAUUAUUAAGGACUGACGGUACCAUGAGAAUAAGCACCGGCUAA
rnacentral:rRNA from 1 species